rnacentral:lncRNA from 1 species
GAUUGCUUUGGGUCAUCAUCUGAUUUGAAGCACCAACCAUAUUGUUUCUUCUAUCUGUCUUACACAUGGGGCUGUGCAGCAGCCUGAUGGGACCCGGGACAUUAAAGACACACUAUUGCAUCCCUCUAAUCAUUACCUGACACACACAGGCUUGUUAGAUUGUACUCAAAACACUACCUCAUAGCUCAAAUGUCAUUGUAAUUCUUAUAUCCACACUAAUUUUAACUCAAUUCUAUGUUGCUCUUUUUCAGAGCUGCCUCUUCUCACCUCUGAGUUUUCCCUGUACCUGGGAUAUGGGCUUCCUUCUGAACUCCAUUAUUCAUGUUAUGCAGAGUAAUUCUCUUUGGGCCUGAUUGGUUCAGCACCAAGUGAAGUCAUAGUCACUAUGGUGACUCACAAUUGUCCUCAGAACCUAGUGCCAACAGUCUGCAAGAUUCAAACACUGGCCACCAUGCCUGGCUUCCUUCUGGUUCAAGCCUGAAUAAGGUCCCUCUUCUGUGCUGUCUUCCUGAAGCCAUCUGUGGAGUCAAGCAGUCAUGGCUCAGGGACACUCUGAAGUAGGUCCCAGCACAUCUGCAUGGAGCAUCAGGAGGAAGGUGGAUGAAUACUUAAGACCCAGCCUGGCCUCUAAAUCGGUGCUGAGCGUUUUACUCAGUAGACAGCUUGGGAAUCAUAGAAACGAUGCGGAUCUGACAGAGUGGCUGUGGACACUGAAGCAAGCCAUACCAGGGUGGACCUGGCCUUUGCCGACACGCCACACAAUCAACCCACCUCUGCCCCCUGGGGAGGAUGGAAAAUCCAAGAAAAUGGUGUGGAUCAAUAAAUCCUUCCCCUGAUGCAACCAUUACAAGUGGAAG